CAGUAGCCGCGGUAAUACGUAGGUGGCAAGCGUUGUCCGGAAUUGUUGGGCGUAAAGGGCUCGCAGGCGGUUUCUUAAGUCUGAUGUGAAAGCCCCCGGCUCAACCGGGGAGGGUCAUUGGAAACUGGGAAACUUGAGUGCAGAAGAGGAGAGUGGAAUUCCACGUGUAGCGGUGAAAUGCGUAGAGAUGUGGAGGAACACCAGUGGCGAAGGCGACUCUCUGGUCUGUAACUGACGCUGAGGAGCGAAAGCGUGGGGAGCGAACAGGAUUAGAUACCCCCGUAGUCCCUGUCUCUUAUAU
rnacentral:rRNA from 1 species